UACAGAGGGGGCAAGCGUUGUUCGGAAUUACUGGGCGUAAAGGGCGCGUAGGCGGCCCGCUAAGUCGAACGUGAAAUCCCCGGGCUCAACCCGGGAACUGCGUCCGAUACUGGAAGGCUUGAAUCCGGGAGAGGUGAGUGGAACUGCGAGUGUAGAGGUGAAAUUCGUAGAUAUUCGCAAGAACACCAGUGGCGAAGGCGGCUCACUGGCCCGGUACUGACGCUGAGGUGCGAAAGCGUGGGGAGCAAACAGG
rnacentral:rRNA from 1 species